AUGGAGACCGAGGAGGAGACUGGGGCUGAGGAUGAUGAUGAUGACUACGUGCCUUCUGAGGCAGAGCCCUCUUGGGCAAAGAAGCUCAAGCUCAAGAUGAAGAAGUUGUUCUGCAUGGAGUCUCACGGUCAGUACAUGACUCAUGUGGCUGAGAAGAAGGCCCGAGGUCGCCAUAACGAGCUCAUGCGACAGAUGGGUGCUACUGUGAUCAGUGGAUCUGAGGAUCAGCUUACUGAGGAGGAGGAGUGGAUUCAGCAGCACUGCCCGUGGACCGAUUCUGAUGCCGAGCACUUCCAGACCGACGACGGUGGCGCAGAUGAUCCCACUGAGCUCUGA
rnacentral:rRNA from 1 species